rnacentral:rRNA from 1 species
ACGGGUGAGUAACACGUGGGUGACCUGCCUUCGAGCGGGGGAUAACGUCCCGAAAGGGACGCUAAUACCGCAUGACAUCCCAUCUUUUAACAGGUGGAGAUCAAAGCCGGGGAUCGCAAGACCUGGCACUCGAAGAGGGGCCCGCGUCCGAUUAGCUAGUUGGUGAGGUAACGGCUCACCAAGGCAACGAUCGGUAGCCGGCCUGAGAGGGCGGACGGCCACACUGGGACUGAGACACGGCCCAGACUCCUACGGGAGGCAGCAGUGGGGAAUUGUUCGCAAUGGGCGCAAGCCUGACGACGCAACGCCGCGUGGAGGAUGAAGAUCUUCGGGUCGUAAACUCCUUUCGAUCGAGACGAACGGCUUCCGGGUGAACAAUCCGGGAGAGUGACGGUACCGAGAGAAGAAGCCCCGGCUAACUCCGUGCCAGCAGCCGCGGUAAUACGGGGGGGGCAAGCGUUGUUCGGAAUUACUGGGCGUAAAGGGCUCGUAGGUGGCCAACUAAGUCAGACGUGAAAUCCCUCGGCUUAACCGGGGAACUGCGUCUGAUACUGGAUGGCUUGAGUUUGGGAGAGGGAUGCGGAAUU